rnacentral:rRNA from 1 species
UUGAACGCUGGCGGCAGGCCUAACACAUGCAAGUCGAGCGGUAGCACAGAGAGCUUGCUCUCGGGUGACGAGCGGCGGACGGGUGAGUAAUGUCUGGGAAACUGCCUGAUGGAGGGGGAUAACUACUGGAAACGGUAGCUAAUACCGCAUAAUGUCGCAAGACCAAAGUGGGGGACCUUCGGGCCUCAUGCCAUCAGAUGUGCCCAGAUGGGAUUAGCUAGUAGGUGGGGUAACGGCUCACCUAGGCGACGAUCCCUAGCUGGUCUGAGAGGAUGACCAGCCACACUGGAACUGAGACACGGUCCAGACUCCUACGGGAGGCAGCAGUGGGGAAUAUUGCACAAUGGGCGCAAGCCUGAUGCAGCCAUGCCGCGUGUGUGAAGAAGGCCUUCGGGUUGUAAAGCACUUUCAGCGGGGAGGAAGGCGGUGAGGUUAAUAACCUCAUCGAUUGACGUUACCCGCAGAAGAAGCACCGGCUAACUCCGUGCCAGCAGCCGCGGUAAUACGGAGGGUGCAAGCGUUAAUCGGAAUUACUGGGCGUAAAGCGCACGCAGGCGGUCUGUCAAGUCGGAUGUGAAAUCCCCGGGCUCAACCUGGGAACUGCAUUCGAAACUGGCAGGCUAGAGUCUUGUAGAGGGGGGUAGAAUUCCAGGUGUAGCGGUGAAAUGCGUAGAGAUCUGGAGGAAUACCGGUGGCGAAGGCGGCCCCCUGGACAAAGACUGACGCUCAGGUGCGAAAGCGUGGGGAGCAAACAGGAUUAGAUACCCUGGUAGUCCACGCCGUAAACGAUGUCGAUUUGGAGGUUGUGCCCUUGAGGCGUGGCUUCCGGAGCUAACGCGUUAAAUCGACCGCCUGGGGAGUACGGCCGCAAGGUUAAAACUCAAAUGAAUUGACGGGGGCCCGCACAAGCGGUGGAGCAUGUGGUUUAAUUCGAUGCAACGCGAAGAACCUUACCUGGUCUUGACAUCCACAGAACUUUCCAGAGAUGGAUUGGUGCCUUCGGGAACUGUGAGACAGGUGCUGCAUGGCUGUCGUCAGCUCGUGUUGUGAAAUGUUGGGUUAAGUCCCGCAACGAGCGCAACCCUUAUCCUUUGUUGCCAGCGGUUAGGCCGGGAACUCAAAGGAGACUGCCAGUGAUAAACUGGAGGAAGGUGGGGAUGACGUCAAGUCAUCAUGGCCCUUACGACCAGGGCUACACACGUGCUACAAUGGCGCAUACAAAGAGAAGCGACCUCGCGAGAGCAAGCGGACCUCAUAAAGUGCGUCGUAGUCCGGAUUGGAGUCUGCAACUCGACUCCAUGAAGUCGGAAUCGCUAGUAAUCGUAGAUCAGAAUGCUACGGUGAAUACGUUCCCGGGCCUUGUACACACCGCCCGUCACACCAUGGGAGUGGGUUGCAAAAGAAGUAGGUAGCUUAACCUUCGGGAGGGCGCUUACCACUUUGUGAUUCAUGACUGGGGUG